UUUUAUAGCUUAAAAAAUAAAAUAGCAUAAAAAAAAUUGCUAGCCCCAUCUUAUAACUCCUGCUAGAACUAUUAUUUAGCUGUGGCUGGGGUUGUAAAAAGACCCAAAUUUGGCGGGGGCUGGGGCCCCAGUCACUCACUACACACAAGUGUGGAACCACUAAACUAAAAACUUUUUUUUUUUUUUUAUGCUUGGUAGUUUUUUUUAUUUUUUCAAAUUUGUUCAUGUUUUUUUUUUAUACACAUGUUGUACAGUAAAAUUGAAGAUGGCAGUUUAAAAAAUUUGCUGUGGUUGAAUUUCUAGAUGAAAAAACAAAAGCAUGUGUGCCAUGUUAUCUGUUGUUAUUAUGUAAUUAUUCCUUGUGUAAUUUUAUGUUACACACAUGCUAGAUGCUAAUGAUCUGAACAGCUAUAUUUAUCUUUUCUUUAAAUUUAAAACGAAUGGAAACAUUAGAGUUCACAUCAAGCGUUGAAACAGCUGCUGAUAGUGAUGAAAAAUUGUCCAUGCCACCAGCUAAAAAGUUAGCAGUUUGCAAAACAAGUGACACUGAGGAGACAUAUCCAUCAGUUUCCCCAAGAUUGAAGAAAUCUUUUAAUUGCUUUUAGAGCUAUUUAGUUUGAAUCGUUCUCUACCGAUAUUUUCCUCUUCUGACCAGAGCUUGGCAACUGUUGUGGCUGCUUUAGGCACCCGAUUUGCUGCAUUUGAGAAGAAAAGUUUAGAGCUGCUUGUCAGUAUUCAAUAUGAUUU
rnacentral:lncRNA from 1 species